GUUUCAGCCGCCGCGGUAAUACGGGGGGAGCAAGCGUUGUUCGGAAUCACUGGGCGUAAAGGGAGUCUAGGCGGUUUGGUAAGUGGGAUGUGAAAUGCCCCGGCUCACCCGGGGACCUGCAUCCCAAACUGCUGAGCUUGAGUACAGGAGAGGGUGGGGGAAUUCCAGGUGUAGCGGUGAAAUGCGUAGAUAUCUGGAGGAACACCGGUGGCGAAGGCGCCCACCUGGCCUGCUACUGACGCUGAAGCUCGAAAGCUAGGGGAGCAAACGGGAUUAGAUACCCUAGUAGUCC
rnacentral:rRNA from 1 species